CCUACGGGUGGCAGCAGUGGGGAAUAUUGGACAAUGGGGGGAACCCUGAUCCAGCCAUGCCGCGUGUGUGAAGAAGGCCUUUUGGUUGUAAAGCACUUUAAGCGAGGAGGAGGAGCUCUAGAUUAAUACUCUAGAUGCUUGGACGUUACUCGCAGAAUAAGCACCGGCUAACUCUGUGCCAGCAGCCGCGGUAAUACAGAGGGUGCAAGCGUUAAUCGGAUUUACUGGGCGUAAAGCGUGCGUAGGUGGUCUUUUAAGUCGGAUGUGAAAUCCCUGAGCUUAACUUAGGAAUUGCAUUCGAUACUGGGAGGCUAGAGUAUGGGAGAGGAUGGUAGAAUUCCAGGUGUAGCGGUGAAAUGCGUAGAGAUCUGGAGGAAUACCGAUGGCGAAGGCAGCCAUCUGGCCUAAUACUGACACUGAGGUACGAAAGCAUGGGGAGCAAACAGGAUUAGAUACCCUUGUAGUC
rnacentral:rRNA from 1 species